GCCUUCUUUGCCUUCUCUCUUUGCUUUUUGACUCUGUGCUGAUCUAAACUCUGUAGCAAACUGCCAGAGAAAUUCCUGCACCUGUCCCAAAACCCACAGUGGUGGUCAUGACAUUUCCAUGAUCAUACACUGGGCAGAGCAUGCUGGGGCAAAGGGAUGUCCUGACCUGUUUUCCAAGACUGAGCUGCUGGUAAUUAAGCAACAGAUGAUGUGCCUCAGGCUUUGAUCACCCAUUAAUGACAAUCAUGUGGGUCAGCUGGAACAGAAGCUGAAAUGUUUGAAAUUAAAUGAGCUGAAAGGCUCUUUAGGAGCUUUUUCAGGAAAGGGGAUAUAGUGACUGCAGAGGUGGGCAUUAUGCUGAAUGAUUUAACAGAAGGAUUGGACCUGUGUGGUGGGAAAAAUGUCUUCGUUGCCUCAGAAGCAUCUCAGUCUCAUGAAGGAAUGGCAACACAUAAAUAGCUCUUGAAGAUGAAGAGGAGGGAAACACCCUGAUGUGAUGGCUGUCAUUGCUGCCCUGGGGGGACUUGCAGACUUCUGGCAUGGGGGCAAUAGGAUGCAGCUGCCCUGGACUGAGCUGAGCUGGAGCUGCUGAGGCCCUGCAUUGCCGUGGAGGACGACAUUCAUUUGUGUGCUCUUCAAGCUCCUGUUGUUGAUUUUAGCUGCUGGUACUGCAGAAGUGGUUCCAGCCUACUUUGGAGUCAUAUUCCGUAGCCAGCUCUGACUGUAAUGCAUUAGAUGUGCAAUAGGAACACUGGUUUAAAAACAAACAAACAGAACCCCUGCCAAUAAGUGUUCUUUGGUCCAGGUACUCUAAAUUGUUAAAAAUCUAAUUGAUUAUACAGGACUGGAAUGACAUCUGGGGAUGAUUCCCUUUCCUCUCUUAUGUAAUGUACGAGUGUGUCAGCUUCAUCAAAUGUGGAUGCGCCAGCUAUUCGUGUGUCAGAAAUACUGAGAAAGCCUGGGAAUAAAGAGAGUAAGUGAUGUACAUGUUAAGCUUGCCUGGAAAUCAUAGUAUGUUUCUUUAAAUAUGGUCAAUAAAGGGAUUUAUCCUCACUGUUAAGAUACUUAAGUGCACCCAGAGAAAUGUCUGACAGUCUAUAGGACCCUUAUCAGUAAAUGAGACCUGGGAACUUAAAUACCCUAAGAUGUCUUGAUGGCUUCUCAUAUUUUUCUCAUAAACUGCUACAGCAAAAAUAAUUUUGGAAGGUCUUGGAGACUCUUACACAUGCUCUUUGGUUUCAUUUUUUGGAGCCAUAAUUACUACUUUGGCCUGCACUCCUGCUUACGCAGUUUUCUGUGUGAAGUCACAACCUAGCUCUGGAAUGGGCUGGAACUCAUUAAAUCCGAGCAGGAUGUUCAGUUCUGUAGAUUUCAUUUGAAAAUCAGUUGGUGAUUCUCAUAUAUUAUUACAAAUUUACAGCUGUCCCUGGUUGAUAAUUAUAUUUUAAGUCUGUCCCUCAGAUUAAUCUGAGUGCAUACUUUAAAAAGUUCUGCCAUGGCUUUGGUUUAAAUAAAUUACUUACAGGAAUGACAUGUUUGUUACUAAUCCUCCAGCUUCUGAUAGCCAAAUUCCGUAAUUCUCUUCCAGACUGGUAAUUCUUUCUUAUGCAAGCAGACCUACUGACUUCACAUUUUUUUUGCCCAGUUUGGACCACCACUUAAGCAAAUGGUUAAUUGUAAACAUGUGUUUAGGUCCUAUUGACUUCUGUGAGGCUUAAGUGCUGUCUUGAAUAGGCAUUCUUAUCCAAAUUGGAGCCAGAAAAUUAAAUUUGUCCCCCUGCAUAAAAGAUCAAUUCAUCUGUUAUGCCUCCAAUAGAAAGCUAAAAGUUCUUUUGGAUUAAGACAGGAUAUACACUUAAAGUGUAAUAAAUGUUUCUGAAGACCAUGUAAACUCCUAGUAAAUAGUAAACUCCUAUUCUAGAAGGAGCAUUUGCAUUCAGAGAUGUUAAGGGAUAGCUAUUUUUGAUGCUCUCUGUAUGGAUACAAAAUGCAUCUUAACUAUAUGUGGAAGAUAAUAUUUUGAUUUAUGUCAUUAU